CUUCUUUUUCCCCGGAGCUUGCUCCACCGGAAAAAGAAGAGUGGCGAACGGGUGAGUAACACGUGGGUAACCUGCCCAUCAGAAGGGGAUAACACUUGGAAACAGGUGCUAAUACCGUAUAACAAUCGAAACCGCAUGGUUUUGAUUUGAAAGGCGCUUUCGGGUGUCGCUGAUGGAUGGACCCGCGGUGCAUUAGCUAGUUGGUGAGGUAACGGCUCACCAAGGCCACGAUGCAUAGCCGACCUGAGAGGGUGAUCGGCCACAUUGGGACUGAGACACGGCCCAAACUCCUACGGGAGGCAGCAGUAGGGAAUCUUCGGCAAUGGACGAAAGUCUGACCGAGCAACGCCGCGUGAGUGAAGAAGGUUUUCGGAUCGUAAAACUCUGUUGUUAGAGAAGAACAAGGAUGAGAGUAACUGUUCAUCCCUUGACGGUAUCUAACCAGAAAGCCACGGCUAACUACGUGCCAGCAGCCGCGGUAAUACGUAGGUGGCAAGCGUUGUCCGGAUUUAUUGGGCGUAAAGCGAGCGCAGGCGGUUUCUUAAGUCUGAUGUGAAAGCCCCCGGCUCAACCGGGGAGGGUCAUUGGAAACUGGGAGACUUGAGUGCAGAAGAGGAGAGUGGAAUUCCAUGUGUAGCGGUGAAAUGCGUAGAUAUAUGGAGGAACACCAGUGGCGAAGGCGGCUCUCUGGUCUGUAACUGACGCUGAGGCUCGAAAGCGUGGGGAGCAAACAGGAUUAGAUACCCUGGUAGUCCACGCCGUAAACGAUGAGUGCUAAGUGUUGGAGGGUUUCCGCCCUUCAGUGCUGCAGCUAACGCAUUAAGCACUCCGCCUGGGGAGUACGACCGCAAGGUUGAAACUCAAAGGAAUUGACGGGGGCCCGCACAAGCGGUGGAGCAUGUGGUUUAAUUCGAAGCAACGCGAAGAACCUUACCAGGUCUUGACAUCCUUUGACCACUCUAGAGAUAGAGCUUCCCCUUCGGGGGCAAAGUGACAGGUGGUGCAUGGUUGUCGUCAGCUCGUGUCGUGAGAUGUUGGGUUAAGUCCCGCAACGAGCGCAACCCUUAUUGUUAGUUGCCAUCAUUCAGUUGGGCACUCUAGCAAGACUGCCGGUGACAAACCGGAGGAAGGUGGGGAUGACGUCAAAUCAUCAUGCCCCUUAUGACCUGGGCUACACACGUGCUACAAUGGGAAGUACAACGAGUCGCGAAGUCGCGAGGCUAAGCUAAUCUCUUAAAGCUUCUCUCAGUUCGGAUUGUAGGCUGCAACUCGCCUACAUGAAGCCGGAAUCGCUAGUAAUCGCGGAUCAGCACGCCGCGGUGAAUACGUUCCCGGGCCUUGUACACACCGCCCGUCACACCACGAGAGUUUUAACACCCGAAGUCGGUGAG
rnacentral:rRNA from 1 species